UACGUAGGGUGCAAGCGUUUGUCCGGAAUUAUUGGGCGUAAAGAGCUCGUAGGCGGUUUGUCGCGUCUGCUGUGAAAACUGGAGGCUCAACCUCCAGCCUGCAGUGGGUACGGGCAAACUAGAGUGCGGUAGGGGAGACUGGAAUUCCUGGUGUAGCGGUGAAAUGCGCAGAUAUCAGGAGGAACACCGAUGGCGAAGGCAGGUCUCUGGGCAUUAACUGACGCUGAGGAGCGAAAGCAUGGGGAGCGAACAGG
rnacentral:rRNA from 1 species